UCGAUUGGGUUGCCUGUGUUAGAUCCCGGCAUUCGCCGUCCUGACAACCCCUACUUUAUAUUACUGGGAACUGGGAAAAGCGUUCUCGCCGUUUUGACUUAUACCAUUCGGCGGUGCUCAUUAGAACCUUCCAUCAUUUGUUCGUAGCGUCUGAUGCUUUGUUGCGUCGUUCUUAUGGUUUCAACAUAUAAGAAAAUAUAACGCAUCUGACUCGGCUGCAGUUUAUCGCAAUCGGAGAAGGCUUCAGAACCAUGAUGAAGGGAUUUUCUUAUAUGGUGAUGAUUAUUGUUCUCUUGGCUUGUGCUAUUUAUCCUGGCAGUGGGCUUCAAUGUUUUUCCUGCACAGCAAGUGGAAAUACCUCAUCAUUGUCUUGUGCAGGUGUGCCUAAGAACUGCACAGCCCAAGAUAAACAAUGCAAUACAUACUUUGUCAGGAAAGGAAACUAUUCUUAUGAAUUCACCAGGGAUUGUGUACCUGCAGAAGUCUGUGCACCCAGCUAUUGCAAGUCCUUCAUCCUUCCACUUGGCUAUAUGGAGUGUGUUGUGAAGUGUUGUGAAGACAGUUUGUGCAAUAAGGAUGUCAUAAUCAAUUCUAACUCACCAUCAAUGGCAACCUUUAUAGCUCAGUGGCUUGUUUUGCUUGUAACUGCAAUACAUGUGUUAUUUCUUUAGUUCAAAUUAUAGUAGAAAUUAUUUUAUUCAGAUAUGAAAGAGUUCUUUUGUACACAUACUAACAGGCCCAUACCCAAGGGGGUGCAAGGGGUGCGAACGCACCCCUCCCACACAACGGCCGAAAGUCUACUUUCAGUUCUCAAUAGACAUGCUAUUUGUAGACCAAACUGUAAAGUAUAAGCUAGGUCACUCUGGUAUGUCAUCAAUCCAUGAGUCAGACUUUUGUGUAGCCAAAUCCAACAAGAAACGUCCCUGGGUACGGGCCUGUACUAAUAACCCAUUUUUUUAAACAUUAAAACUAUUACUGUUUUCACAUUUUGUGGAAUUAUGGGACUAAGGACAAAAUGCUUAGUUAAAAAGGAUGAAGUGGCCAGAGAGUUGGAUCCCCUCAAAGGAUCCACUAACAUACCCCAGGGAUGAGGAAGGUACCACCUUGCAUAUAUAUUUUAGAUAAUUACCCUAAUAAUUCAAAUAAGCACCCCAUCCCCAAUAAGUACCACCCUUGACCCUUACAAUUUUAAUUUUGAUAUAAGUAACCCCUCCACUCCCCUAUAAAAAAUAUCUAAAAAAGGGGCAACUUAUUGUGUGAAUCUCAACAUUAUUUACCUCAAAUUGAUUUUCUAAUCAUUCAAUAUGGGCCUAGCAGCAUUUUUACUAUCACAUUUUAUUGCAAAUAAAGUUUUGUUCUCAAUCAAUUCAGAAGCUGGUAUUUUCCGCCCAAAAGGAAAUAAGUACCCCCUCUGCAAUUAGUGGCCCCUCAAGGACCAAAUACUCCCCGGGCGCUAAUUGGAAUUAUUAUGGUCAGUUGGUAGAAGCCCUACCCCCUCCUCCUGGCUUUGCUACUUGUGACAUGGCUAGUAAACCCGGGUAAUGGUAAUCGGUUGAUGAGUAAUAUAAUACAGUACAAUACAUUUAUUUUGCAUUUCAAUGAUAUAUAAUAUUACCUUUUAGAUUUACAUAUUUUAUGAUUAACAUACUUUUGUAUAUUUUAGUUAUUAUUAAAAUAGUAUAUUAUAUUCACACAUCAAUAACAUGUAUUAGUUUAAGGUAGUUAGGAAAUAUAGGGAAUUAUGAACUGUUUAUAAACCUAUUAAUAACCUAA